GACGAACGCUGGCGGCGUGCCUAACACAUGCAAGUCGAACGGGGGGAACAUGAAGUAUUUCGGUACGGAAUGCGCCCCUAGUGGCGAACGGGUGAGUAACACGUGGGCAACCUGCCCCAGACUGGGGGAUAACAUUGUGAAAACAGUGCUAAUACCGCAUGACAGGGUUCCGGGCAUCCGGGACCCUUGAAAGGAGAAAUCCGGUCAGGGAUGGGCCCGCGUCCAAUUAGCUAGUUGGCGGGGUAACGGCCCACCAAGGCGACGAUUGGUAGCCGAACUGAGAGGUUGAUCGGCCACAUUGGGACUGAGACACGGCCCAGACUCCUACGGGAGGCAGCAGUGGGGAAUAUUGGGCAAUGGGCGAAAGCCUGACCCAGCGACGCCGCGUGAAGGAUGAAGGUCUUCGGAUUGUAAACUUCUUUGAUCAGGGAAGAAAGAAAUGACGGUACCUGAAAAACAAGCCAACGGCUAACUACGUG
rnacentral:rRNA from 1 species